rnacentral:tRNA from 1 species
GGAUAGAUGGCCGAGUGGUCGAAGGCGCACGAUUGGAAAUCGUGUGUACGUCUAAAGCGUACCGAGGGUUCGAAUCCCUCUCUAUCCGCCA